CUGGGUUUGAUCUCCAGCACUACCCCUUCUUACAUGGAAGAAAAGAAAGGAAAUCAGUGCAAGGACGGGAAAUGUGUACAGCUUUUGUAGCAUCACUGUCCACUUGCACUUAGAGCAAAAUUGGUAUUGGGACAGCUCUCUGGCUUUCCUGUGACUUGGCAAAACCUUUCCUCUCUUUUAUUUUUUAAAGAACUUCUAUCUAUCUAUCUAUCUAUCUAUCUAUCUAUCUAUCUAUCUAUCUAUGUAUCUAUCUAUCUACUUACCUACCUAUCAUGUACAUAUGUACGUACGUACGUACGUACGUAUGUAUGUAUGUAUGUAUGUUUGUUUGUUUGUUUGUUUGUUUGUUUUUGAAGGUAGUACUUCGUUAUGCAGCCCUGGGCUGGCCUGGAAGUUGCAGUGAUCCCAGCCUGCUCCUGAAUGCUGAAACUACAAGCAUGCAACACUUGCCAAGCUAGCAUCCUUUCUAAUUUGUUUAGUUUUUUACCUUUUGGAACAAGAAUUGGGUGACAAAAGAAGUAAGUAGUGCUCAGUCCUUUAUUAUAAUUUCAUCAUAGGUUGAAGAGUAGCUUUCUAGUUUCACUCAGUGCAACUUGAACAUGGCUGAUGAUGUGUCUAGUUAUCUCCAGUGGCUCAGAGUCCCCUACAGUAGCUAGUGAUCCAGAUAAGGGCUGUCUUGUUGCCUAGAUACUAGGUGAAUGUAAUUUGAAAACCAAAGGAAUAUUCUCCAUAAGCAUGAGACUCUCAGAAGCAGUGGUAACAUAUCCUUCUAGAUGUGUUACAUGGAAGUGAAUUGACAUGAAGAUGAGUUCCUGUCGGUGGCUAAUGUAUACUGAUGUCUUCUGUAUCAGGCACAAAGAUAAAAGAGCACCCUGCAUGCUGGCCUUCUCCUUGUGAACAGCGAGUCAUCUCCAAACUGUUUCGAAUCUGCAACCCUUUCAGUAGAACCUGUGGACACAGCCUUGAAAAGUCCCCCAGGCUCCUGAACCACCAGACUCACCAGGAGGAACACACCCAUCUCCCUGCUGCUCAUCUGGCAUGAAUCACUAUUUUCCUUGGUCAAAUAAUUUUUAGAAAGGCUGCUUCAAUCCAGGGUGAUUUUCUAAUCUUAUUUCAUUUUUUUCCUGUUAUUUUCUUUCUUCUUGCCCUUUCUAUUCUCUCUCUCCUCUAUCACUUGGUACAACAGUGUCUAAUGUCUGGAAUUCCAUUAUCAAUCCAAUGAAUGAAGGAGGUAGGAAGUUCUUGUGAUAUCCACCAAAAUUCUCCAAAUCUAGAAUAAACGGGACAUAUGCUGUCUGCUCUCUUCAAGCGUUACUAAAAGAGAGAACACAAGCGAAGGCAGUAGAGGAUGCUCCAAAAAGAGCAACUCUGUGUUCUGAGUGCAGCUGCCAGAGUUUGGAGGUAUCUCCUCUUAUAUGUCAAAAGCCCUGAUGUUCAGUCACCCCAGCCUGAUGUACACUUAGGGAAAGGGCCACCUCUCCUGGAAGUCUUCCAAGCCUUAACAGUAGAGGAAUCUGUCCUCCAACCUAUCCCAAAGGGAAAUAGAUGUUUAUGAAUUCGAAAAGACCAGGCAGCAUAAACAAAGACUCACAAAGGAUAAAGGAAAUGGAUUCAGAAGAAGCAACACCCUUAGCAAUACAAUAGGAGUGACUUACGCUUUCUCCAGAAAUGCGUCCCUGGACAUGUUCUGAGCCAGGAGGUUUGUUGCCAAGCUGAAAACCUCACUUGUCCAUUCCUGAAAAAUGUAAGUCACACUUGAAUUAGUUUCAAUAUUAUUCAGGUGUAAAAUAUGCUUUUAACUUGUCUUCCAGUAAGACAGACAAAUUAAAUCAGGUUGGGUGUGAAGAGUUUCCCACCCACCCCCUCUUCUUUUUUAAAUGUUAUAACUAAAUUCAUGUCUAAGUGAUUCUCUUUUAACAAGGAAAUGUACAAAUGAUGAUACAGUUUUCUGUCCUUUAAGUCCCUCAUUGAUAAAACUGCUGUGCUCCAACAACUGUACAGGUUUUACUAAUUUUUUAAUUAUGAAUACAUACAUGAAUAACAGAAAAGUUUAAAAUGUGGCAAAUUUAUUUUCAACGGAAUUGAAAAAAAAUAUUCCUACUUUACCACUCACAAAGUGGAGAUUUCUGUGUUAACUAAUUCUUAGCCAGAUGCAGACAAAAAGCAAAAAUGUGGUAGCAUCAAAAGCCCAUUUCCAGGAUAGGCAGUGAGGAGAUAGCCAGGAUGAGGCUGGGCACUGGGGGUUUACCU
ensembl:lincRNA